GUGUACUUCCAACCCAAUAAAGGCCAUAUGUGAAAAUCCCACCACUAACAUUAUGCUGAAUAGGGAAAAGCUGAGAGCUUUUCUUCUAAGCACUGAAACAAGGCAAGGAUACCUACUCUCACCACUCUUAUUCAACACAGAUCCGGAAGUUCUUCCCAGCACAAUUACGCAAGAGAAAAAAAAAAAAAAAAAAAAAAAGAAAAUAAACUUACUUUGUCUACAAAAAUGAGAAUUAUCUUCUUUCUAAAGGUAAUUUAAUUAUUUCAGGCUAAUUUUGGCUAUUAAGAAAAAGGCUCAUAUAUUUUUCAUAUAUAUUAAACAUGUGAAUACAACUUUGACAAUUAAACUUUAUAUGACUGGAUCACUUUCACGUUGCAAAACACUCUGACAAUAUUAUCUUAAUUCUUCUAACAAAUGCAUGAGAUAAGCAUCAUUUUCACUGAACUGAUGGAGAAAGUGAGACUUGCCCAAAGUCACACAGUUAAGUGGCAGAGCUCAAAUACAAAUACUGAAAAAAUAAUACUCUCUGGAAGAUUAGAGCCUACAUAGUAUUUUUUUUAUGCAUUAGAAAAAAACCAAGAAAAUGUAAAAAAAGAGACAAAAAUAAUAUCUUUCCUUUAUAGGUCCCCAGAUUUUUACAUUUUUUUAAAGAAGUAAUUUUUAUAAAGUACAUUUUAUAAUACUUAUAAUUUGUUUCAUAAAAUUGAGAAGCACAGAAAAUCAUGCUUCCAUAAGACUAAGAUAAAUACUGUCAAAAAUUUCCAGCCUAUCUGUGUAAUUUUUUUGCCUACACACAUAGAAAACUAAAAUUGGGAUCAUAUUAUAUAUUAAGUUUGGCAAACUGCUCUCUUUCCUGAAUGAUCUGGAAAAUGUUUUUCAUGCUAUUGAAAGUAAUCUGAAUAUUUAAAUAUCAGGAUGACCUGAGCCUCCAAUCUCUGCCGCUUAUAAUGAAGCUUCCUGGGUCAGACUUGAUUCAGGAAGCUUCUUUUCUGACUUUUGUAGUUAAUUUGACAUAAUCACUAGUAAUAGGAAAUCAGCAGGGGAAAUUUUCCAUGUGACUUUAGAUAAGCAUGAAAUUGUCUUCAUCUUCCACAGCAGAUCAGAAUCACUG
rnacentral:lncRNA from 1 species